UUGAAUUUAGUAUGAAAAGUAUAGUUAAUUGCAAAUUAAUUGGAUAAAUAAAAAGGUUUUUAAGUUCAAU
rnacentral:tRNA from 1 species